UACGUAGGGUGCAAGCGUUAUCCGGAAUUAUUGGGCGUAAAGAGCUCGUAGGCGGUUUGUCGCGUCUGCUGUGAAAACUGGAGGCUCAACCUCCAGCCUGCAGUGGGUACGGGCAAACUAGAGUGGCGGUAGGGGAGAUUGGAAUUCCUGGUGUAGCGGUGGAAUGCGCAGAUAUCAGGAGGAACACCGAUGGGCGAAGGCAGAUCUCUGGGCCGUAACUGACGCUGAGGAGCGAAAGCAUGGGGAGCGAACAGG
rnacentral:rRNA from 1 species